rnacentral:rRNA from 1 species
ACUACGGGUGGCAGCAGUGAGGAAUAUUGGUCAAUGGUCGGGAGACUGAACCAGCCAAGCCGCGUGAGGGAUGAAGGUACAGAGUAUCGUAAACCUCUUUUGUCAGGGAACAAAGGCGGGGACGCGUCCCCGGAUGAGUGUACCUGAAGAAAAAGCAUCGGCUAACUCCGUGCCAGCAGCGGCGGUAAUACGGAGGAAGCGAGCGUUAUCCGGAUUUAGUGGGUGUAAAGGGUGCGAAGGCGGUCUGGUAAGUCAGCGGUCAAAGCCCGGGGCUCAGCCCCGGCCCGCCGUUGAAACUGGCAGUCUCGAGUUGGAGAGAAGUAUGCGGAAUGCGCGGUGUAGCGGUGAAAUGCAUAGAUAUCGCGCAGAACUCCGAUUGCGAAGGCAGCAUACCGGCUCCACACUGACGCUGAGGCACGAAAGCGUGGGUAUCGAACAGGAUUAGAUACCCGAGUAGUC